rnacentral:rRNA from 1 species
UACAGGGGGGGCAAGCGUUGUUCGGAAUUACUGGGCGUAAAGGGUCUGUAGGUGGCCAACUAAGUCAGACGUGAAAUCCCUCAGCUUAACUGGGGGAACUGCGUCUGAUACUGGAUGGCUUGAGUGUGGGAGAGGAAUGCGGAUUUCCAGGUGUAGCGGUGAAAUGCGUAGAUAUCAGGAGGAACACCUAUGGCGAAGGCAGCUCGCUGGGACGGUACUGACGCUGAGGCGCGAAAGCGUGGGGAGCGAACAGG